AUCUACAGAACUCAUGGCUGCAGCUAAGGACUCCCUUACAGAUCAAGCUCGCCUCAAAGCUGUAACAACUAAGGAAUCUGGUGCCUGGCUCAACGCACUUCCCGUUGCUUCGUUGGGAACAUUAUCAGACGACGAAAGUUUCAGAAUUUCAAUAGAAGAACCCGAAUACCUAAGCGUGUUGGACCAUUUUUUCAUCUGUUCGUGUGUGUUCAUCAUGGCUAUGUGGCAUUAUGUUUGAAUAAAAAGAGAGAUUUGACCAAUAUAACGGAUCAGAGGGUACUCGAUAUGGAAGUAUUCGCACCAUUAUUUUUCACUUCAUGGAAUUUCCUCAUUCAACUGGUUUACUUCACUUCUGCUUUGAUGUACGAUAUUCUUCAUAUGUUAUCGAUAAGGCGAGAUAUCCAAGAAAAAAUGUUAAGGUAUAAAGGAUAUAUUUUCACCAGUUCCUUAUUUCCAUUCUCGGUAUUCGUUUCGACAAUGUUUUGGAGCUUAUACAACAUCAACAGAGAGUUUGUUCUUCCAGAAGUUUUGGAUAAAUAUAUUCCAACCUGGCUCAACCAUUGUUUACAUACAAAUAUUCUGAUAUUUGCCGCAAUAGAAAUGUUGAUUGCCAAUCAACUCCUUCCUACUUUCAUUUCUGCUUUUUUCGGACUGAAUGUGAUUGUGAUCUCCUAUCAUACUCUGUUAAUUCUAACUUACUUUUGGAUAGGAAGGUGGCCCUAUGGACUGUUUUAUAUAUUCACAUGGCCUGAGAGAAUAACUUUCUUCUUCUCCUACUAUCUUUUCACCGUUUGGAUGAUGAAAGUUGGCAUGACAAUACAGAAUUUCAAACAAAGAGUUUCCAUCAAAAAGUCGGAAAGAUGUAAAACUUCUUAACGUGGGCAGCAAUGCUUAUUAAAUCUAAUUUUUUUGGAAUAACGUUGAGAGUAUUUCCAUUUCACAAUAUGUUAAAAUUUUUUGUUAUUUUCAAAUUGCACUUUGCUCAUUCCUAAUUUUAAAGAGCUGUACAAUUAACUUCUCUAGUAUGGCUUUGGUAUAUUCGAGUGGAACUAGCGUAGGAGUAAAAUUGGACAGCAAUAGAUUAUUCAGUUAAUAAUAAGCCUAGGCCGUUUGAACUUGACUUAUCACACCCAAAGAAUUUACAAUCCCCCAUUAGAUUCCUAUAACACACAUUACGUGUUAUAUUAUUUAGUGAGAUACUGAUUUAUUUAUAGAAGUAGAGACGAUUAUAUCGUCAUUUUUCAGAAUACCAUUUCAAAGAACAGGUUUCAUCCAUGAAAGUGGGUUUGUACUCAUAGUAUUUUCAAACCGAUUCAUAAAAAAUCAAAUGAAAUAAUUUUAUUACUGUAGGUUAUUCAAUUAUUCAUUAACGACUUCAUUCAAUAUCACAAAAAUAUAACUUGUAACAGAUGUAAUCAUUCUUAAAAAACCUUCAGACUCAGAUGAUACUUUUUCACUUCAGAUUUCUCGAUCAUCACCUAGAAAAACGAUAGGUGAACAUAUGGGUUAAGGGACUUUUUUUUCUCGAAGGUCAAACAGUUUCAACCAAUGAAUAAAAACUAUAAUCAUACUACCUAUUUAUUUUUUAUUUAUUUUAUUUACAGACCAUGGCUCAGUUUCAGAGUAGGAAAGGUAUAUAUCACAAAUAGAUUUGUACAUACAACAAAAUGAGAAACAAAAUAAAAAAAAAAUAAUCAACAAGA